ACUGUCUUAUUUUUUUGGUUCGUGGUAGUUCCAUAGAGACCUUCAAUCUCUUUUCGCAAAUUUUACGUCAAAAUUAUAGAUGAAGGCUGCAAUUUAUGUGGAAACUAUCCUAUAGCGGCUGCGCCAGUCACGUUUUCAACCCUGACGCACUCGGCCAAAUAGAUCGUGUGGCAAUCGUUGCAGCGCUAGUGGACAGUCGUAAAUAGUAACUGAUGUAUUUAAAUGUUAUUUAAUUAAAAUUGUCGAGAAGAUCAAACAGAAGUGCAUGCUCUGACCAACGGUUACAUCUUGAGAAAUUUAACAGGGAGUAAAACAUAAUGCUUUUGGGUUCACACAAGGGUAGAUUUGUGUGACACAUUUAGAAUGUAGAAAAAAGGUUAAUUAUAACAAUGAAAAAAGUCAUUGUUCUAAGACAUUAAUAGAUUUCUGCCUGUAGUCAACACUUUGCAGAUGUUAACACUUACGGCUACAUGAUUAUGUAUGUAUGUACUACGUAACACGCUGUUUUUAUUGAAGGUAAAUAAAUAUUCUGUAUAAACUACCACCAAAAGAGACCUAUAGUACACCAAAAUAAGGAUAUGAAAACACUCAACACAUGGAAGUUUAUUAUUAGAUGGGACAAUAUGACACAUAUAAAACACGCAGCAGCGCUAUUUGGGUGAACGACGUGUAUAGACAUAUCGAUGUUACUCAUUGGUCUUUUACUUUUGUUACUUUGUCAUGGGUGUUAUUUGUAUCAAAACUGCAUUUUAUGUGUUUAUUUGCCGUUUCUUUAUGUCAAUGUGCAAAUUAUUUUAAAACACUACUUGAGUGCUAUAAUUUAAAGGUUAUAAAAGUAAUAUGUUGAUAAUGAUGAUUUAUUGGCAACAUUUCUGUCAAGCUAAAGCACGAAAUAAAUCAUAAUGGAGUUACGUUUGUUUUACGAGUGAACGGAAAGAGAAUAACUCAAUAGAGCUAGUGUUCUUAGAGACUGUUGUGUAUAUUUACGAAUGCCACAUCCCGGUACUGAAUUAGCGAUUCAGCUUAUAACAUUCCAGUACUGGGCAUAGGCCUCUUUCUCGAUGUGGGAGAAGGGUCUUUUUUCAUGCGGGGAAAAUAUAUUUUAUAAAUAAUAAUUUAAAUAUUGUUUUUCGUAAAAGUCGAAGGAUUUUUUCUGGUAAGUAAUUAUUAAUUAUUCUUUUAUAUUUUUAUACUUUUUCUUCUGUUAUGAGCUUACUGUUUAUUUCCUUAAUGUGAUUAUAGAAAAAUUACCUUUUGUUAGUUCGUUGUUAAAUCAUUUAUUUCUGUAUUAAUUAUAAUAUAAUUGAGUCUGUCUUGUAAUUAAUAUUGCGAAAUCAUUAUUUUCAUUGAAAGCAUUUAUCAAGAUCUAAUCUAAAAUAACAAAAAAUAAAUAAUAAUAAUA